AGUGAACGCUGGCGGUAGGCCUAACACAUGCAAGUCGAACGGCAGCACAGUAAGAGCUUGCUCUUACGGGUGGCGAGUGGCGGACGGGUGAGGAAUACAUCGGAAUCUACUUUUUCGUGGGGGAUAACGUAGGGAAACUUACGCUAAUACCGCAUACGGCCCACGGGUGAAAGCAGGGGAUCUUCGGACCUUGCGCGAUUGAAUGAGCCGAUGUCGGAUUAGCUAGUUGGCGGGGUAAAGGCCCACCAAGGCGACGAUCCGUAGCUGGUCUGAGAGGAUGAUCAGCCACACUGGAACUGAGACACGGUCCAGACUCCUACGGGAGGCAGCAGUGGGGAAUAUUGGACAAUGGGCGCAAGCCUGAUCCAGCCAUACCGCGUGGGUGAAGAAGGCCUUCGGGUUGUAAAGCCCUUUUGUUGGGAAAGAAAAGCAGCAGGUUAAUACCCCGCUGUUCUGACGGUACCCAAAGAAUAAGCACCGGCUAACUUCGUG
rnacentral:rRNA from 1 species